rnacentral:lncRNA from 1 species
GCUGCACCUGCAGCAUAUGGAAGUUCCCGGGCUAGGGAUCGAAUCAGAGCUGCAGCUGAGACCUAAGCUACAGCCACAGCAACGCUGGAUCAGAGCCAUAUCUGCUACCUACCCGCAGCAUGCAGCAGUGCUGGAUCCUUAAUCCACUGAGUAAGGCUGGGGAAUCCAUAUUUUCACAAACAUUAUGUUGGGUUUUUAACCUGUUAAGCCAUAAUGGGAACUCCCAGAUAUGCUAACUUUUAAGGGGCGUGGAAAAACCCAGGUGGGACAUUACAAAACUAGAUAGGUAUCUUGCAGAUAGCUUGAAGUCAGAGUUAAAAUUUGUAUCUUUGCAAGUCAUUACAUUGAAAGUGAUGGUCAAAACUGGAGAAAUUAGGUGAGAGCUCUGUGAUCAAAUAGAUAUUAAACAGGAAAAAAAUGAGUCAUAAAAUCUGUGUUUGGAAGGAGAGGCAGGGUGGAAUGAGGAAAUAAACCUUUGAAAGAGGAAAAAACAGGAAAGGCCUGAGGGUUAGGUGAAGAACUAGGAUGUUGUGUUUUUAUAAAACCUAGGGAGUUCCUGCUGUGGCUCAAUGGAAACAAACCUGACUAGUAACCAUGAGGAUGCGGGUUCAAUACCUGGCCUCACCCAGUGGGGUAAGGAUCUGGCAUUGCCAGUGAGGUGUGGUGUAGGUCACAGAUGGUGCUAGGGUCCCGCAUUACUGUGGCUGUGGUGUAGGCCAGCAGCUAAAGCUCCAAUUCAGCCCCUAACCUGGGAACUUCCAUAUGCCGCAGGCGUGUACUAAACUCCCCGAAACAUUUUAUAAUGGAAAGAAGGCAAAACAGUAUAGAUGGCAGCUACUGGGGGGUAUCAAUGUAUCUCAAAACACAGGUUUCUAGAAGAUCUUGGAGAUACUAGAAAAAAUAAACAUUUCUGGAAUAAUUUAUAAUCAGAAGUAAGGUGACACAAUUGAAAGAAGCAGCCAAUUGGAAUUUCCUGAAACAGAGAAACAACAUUAUGCCUUCUGCAUCUGUAAAGGAUGGUGGUCAAUACAGAUACAGAGAUCUUUAAGUGAGAAAGGAAGUAUAGUAUAUAUGGGACUUAAAGUCACAUUAAAGAAAGUUACAUCUAAGUGCGUCUCUGUUUCCUUUUUCAUAAGGGUUGCAAAGUUCUCUAUUUUGUAUUUUUUGAGAUAAAUAUUUAAUUUAAUUCAGUUUUUAAAAAUUAGAGUUGAUGUACAAUGUCAUGGCAAUUUUUGCAAUGUAUCAAAUUGACACACAUAUAUGCAUUCCUUUUCUCAUAUUAUCUUUCAUUGUGUUCUAUCCCAAGAGAUUGUAUAGUUACCCGUGCUAUAGAGUAGGAACUCAUUGCUUAUCCAUUCUAAAUGUAAUAGUUUGUAUCUGCUAAUCUCAAACUUCCAGUCCAUGCCACUACCGCCCGAGAUAGAUCUUUAAGUCCUUCUUCCAUACCUCUCUAUCUAACAUGUAUAUUUAUUGCUUAUUUGAGUGGUUCUACAUCUGCUUUUGGUCUCCCCACUUUAGCGAUGCAUAAUAUUAACAUGCAUAGAUAUACUUUUAAUAUGUAGUAUUGUAUAUAUCUUGUGUUUUCUGCUUUUGGUUCAUAAUUUUUCCCCUCAUGGCUUUCAAUUAAAAAUAAACAUCUCUGUUUAGACCAUGUAUAAGGUAGAUAAAACAUAAAGCUAUUUCAAUAAGAAAAGGAUUUUAAAUGUCAAUAUCUUAAUUUUUCCAUUUUUUUAAUUUAAAAAGUGACUAAUGAUUUAAAGCAUUCAUAAUUUUUAUAUUUCUUAAAAGAAUAAUACUAAUUACUUAAAACACUGAAAAUAACAUAAAGAUUGGACUUCAGAUAAAGCACUCUGACUCUCUCUCCAUAUAUAUACAUAACAUACAUCAAUUUUUUAUUGAGCUAGAGUUUAUUUACAAUGCUGUAUUAGUUUCAUGUAUACAGCAAGGUCAGUUAUGUAUACACAUAAAACUAUUUUUUCAGAUUAUUUUCCUUUAUCGGUUAUUACAAAAUAUUGAAUAUACUAUAAAAUAAGCUCUGUUUUAUUAAUAGUGAAGUGAGUUACAAUUUAGUUAAAUUUACAUUGGAUUCAAGGAAAAGUGCAUGUGCCAAUUAUAAAGGGACCUGAGGCUGAUUUGUGCACUGAGUACAGUUUGAAAAUGGUAAAACCCUAAAUACUUAGAUUUUAAAUUUUAGAUGCAUCAUAUUUAUUUUCAUGUAUUAAAAAAAUCUUAGCGGUGGUCAAAACAGGAAUCAUAUAACUGCAAGGUUGAUUUGUAGGCUGUGGGCUAUUGACAUGAUUCCAAACGUGUGAAUAAAAGCUAAAAAAAGCAGUAAGUUAAUUAUAUAAACAUUUAUGAACAGAUAAAUGUUUGGAACUAUGUAGAAAACAUCUGUAUUUAAUUUUUAUUUAAAUAUUUUAUUCAAAUAUCAGGUUCCUGCAGCUUAAUUUUUUGGGCUUCAAAAAUAGUCAUUUAUCAAGUCCAUUUCCCCUAGACGCAUCAUACAUCCCUAACUUUCCAUUCCCAGGACCACCAGUCUAACACCAGGAACUGCAAAGGGAUCCACACAUAUUAUCUCCGGUCCUCACAGCCACCCUGCAAAGGAGGGUCUGUGAACUUUAUUCUACCCAUGAGGCAAAUGAAGCUGAGAGAGCUAUAAGUUAUCAAUGAAACUCCAAGUCAACAUAAGUUUGUGUGAUUCAAGCCAGUUUUACUAAGGCGAUACUAAGCCACCUUUCUCCCACCACCUGGGGUAUAAAUCCUUAUUUACCUGGAACUGGAUUCAUUCAACUGCUUUCUAAGUGGAUCUCCCUGCUUCAGAUCCCACCACUGAUCAAUCCACUCUCAUACUUUUAAUUCUUUAGUUACACCCCUUACAAUAACUUUGAACUAUCCCUCAGCUACAAGAAACAAGAGCCCCACAAGAUAGUUUACUUUAUUGAGUAAAGUAAGAAUACAAAGAUAAAGAAAACAUUCCAUUGUGAAAUUUACAGCCUUAGAUACCUAUUCAUUGCAAUGUGUGGAGACAUUCUUCAUGAUUGAUUAUGUGGCCAAUAUUUGCAAACUUUCUAUGUGCACUUUAAAAGGAUUUGAUACUCUUUAAGGGUGUUGUGAUUAUCACAUAUAUAUUGGGUCAAGCUUGUAAGAUCAAGCCUUCCAACUCUGUUGUCUCAAUCUUCUAUAUCCUUAUUCUAUUUCACUUCUUGCUGAAUUCUUGGUUCUGUUGCUUGCUAUUAUUUUUUAAAUUAUCUCUGCCCAUUCUCAUCUCAUUCCAGAAGUAGAUGUUAAAAUGAUGGGUUGAAGCCUCUGUGUUGCAAGGAGAUUGUGAAUACUUUAGGACCUGCUAUUGAAUCAGCUGUUGACCUUUUUUAAUUCCUGGUCCUCUAGAUCAGCUCUAUUAUCUAGAACCAAAGACACCAGUUUAUUCCAGCCUUUUACAUAAAUUCAGGGUGGGGAUAAGGUGCUCUUUGAGGGCCAAAGCCCCUCUUGGGUCCUGGCUUCCACCUGUGAGAUCACCUGGGAAAACCUGAAGGCUCCACAUGGGCAGAACUUCCCAAGCCUACUGCCUGCUUCUGGAUCUAGAUUCCAAGAGACUCUUCUCUUCUCCUCCUCACUCUUGCAUAUUUCUACCUCACUUCUGGUCCAUGGAGUAAGUAUCAUAUCUUCUAAGCAUUGACUCCAUUUCAUUUUCUCCUUUCAUAUUUUAUCUACCCUUGAUACCAUUUUGGGGAAAAAGCUGGAUGAAAAUGCACAUGAUCUUGACCAAAAGUUGGAGUACCACAUUUAUAAUACUAUUCUAUUUCUGAUAAGUAUUAAUCACAACAUGUAAAUGACCUGCAUGAGGUUGUCAAUACCUGGUAGGACCUCCUUUCUUAUGGAACUGAAAAGGAAGCUGCAUUCUUAUGGAACGACAGAGAAACCCACCUAUAAGCCCAGAGAACAGAUGUGACUGGCAGAAAUCCAGGCAGGUUUCCCCUGGACACCCCUGAAAGCCUCAGCUGGGCAGAGUUACACUGCAAUUCAUGUUUAAAGCAGCCACUCCCUUUCCCAGAGCAGAGUGAGGUAAGGACCGAGGCAGAGUCCCAGAUAGCUCCCAGGACUCCACAAACCCUAAGGCUUCCUCCAGCUCCACGAUUUUAUGAGCCUGUCGUGAAGGAACAAAAUCCAGGUGGUGAGCGUCGUGUUUCCAUUCCUCAUAGGACUCAAUACGAUAGGACAGGGAAAAGAAUGUGCUCUUGAAGAUGUUAAAACUGAAAAUACUGUCAGAAAUAAGAACAGUGUGUUAAGAUCACAAUCAACUUUAUGAACACUAGAACUGCUGCCAGGGCAAGGAGAAUGGGUCAAACUGUGUUCAAGCUGGUAAAAAUGAACACGUCGCAUAAACAGACUGAGAUAUAGAUGCUUUCCUUACAGAUCUCAUGUCUGCAUUUCAAUCCCACAAAGCCACAAGCUUCAAAUUAACCUAUGUUUUCCAAAGUGAAAUGAAGGUCAGUAAUCUUGGAAAUGCUAAGAUAGGUUUUCUCAAAGCAUACCUUUAAGUUAAUUACUAAAGGCAAGCACAAUUUGGAAAAGAAUUCUGUAAUUAAAAAACACCUAUAUCCCUAGUAGUUGAUGAACACAAUGAGUAAAGUCUUAAGUAAGAAUCUUAAAAGGUAUUCGGUUCAAUUAACUUUUUAAUGCAGAUUGGAAAAAAAAGGUCUCAUAAAUGGGAUUUUGGAAAGAAACAAUAAGGGAAAAUGUCUGUAAAGCAAAAAGCCAAAGGAAAUAAAGUUGUAGUGAAAAUUUUAUGUGUGUAUAACUUUCUCUUUUCUGGCAUGAUAAAAAUACUGACGGGAAAAUAGCUUCCCCAACCUUGAUUUGUACAUCUAGGAAAGAACCAUAUAGUUAGACCAUCCUUAUAUUAAACUGGCCACAAAGCUUCCAAAUUACUUUAAACACAAUUUUCAUUUCAAUAGCAUACGCAUUAAUCUUAAUAGAUUUUAGCUAAUUAUGUAUAGAGUACAUGUACUAAAUUUCCAACUUGAUGUUCAUGUUCGAUAUUCCAUUUCUAUUUUACUAAAAGAAGCCUCCAACUACCUUUUUCUCUGGAGAGAAAUUUCAUUUAAUUAAAAAAAAAUACUAGUGAUUGUCUGCUUCAUAGCAUCUUUUAUAUGAAGUUAGUUUUCCUGACCUGGGAGUCUCCUUCAUUUCAAUCUUUCAGUGAAUUUUCUUUUCAGUUUUUAAAAAUUUGGGGACAUAUGACUCAAGGCUUGACAGAGCCAGCCAACACAAAACCCUCUUUUGAAAUGUGUAUAGCAUCAUACAUGCAUAGAAUUCCUAAUUUCAAAUAAAUGCCUAGCUCUAUCCAUCUUGACAAAAUUGCUAUUAUUUAUUUAUUUAUUGCCAUGCUUGCGGCAUCCAGAGGUUCCUAGGCCAGGGAUUGAACCUGGGCCACAGCAAUGACCUGAGCCACAGCAGUGACAAUGUCAGAUCCUUAGCCACUAGACCGUUAGGCAACUCCACCAUUCGUUUUUGAUUAAGAGAGAAUGAAUGGUUUCUAGUAAAUAAACCAAAACACCAAAAUGUCUCACUGCCAGGCUUACCAUUUUCUUCUUUUCGUAUAAUUUCCUCAAGCACUCUUUUUGCUUAAUUCUAUUUAGUUCUUCUAUCUAGACAGAGUCUUUAAUUCUAUGAUAGGACUAUAGGUUUCCCUAAACAGGACCUACAAGACUAAAUAUUUAGUGUUUCGUGUCCACAAAAUAUUCAAUCCACCAUGAUUAUAAGUGAGUACUGGCUGGUGGGCAACUUUUUCAUCUGCACCCCCACCUCUAAAUGCAGAGGGAUCAAGGUUGAUGGAGGAGCAGCCCAACACCAAACCUUCAGAAGCCUGGGCACCUCCAAGAGGAUGAUAACUGAUGGCUCAUUUCCAAAAGGGCAUGAGGGAGGCAGAAGAACUGCCCCCAAAAGUAUCCACAUUCUAAUCUCAGAAACCUGUGAGUAUAUUAGGUUACAUGACAAAGAUGAAUUAAGGUUGUCCUGUAACAAAAGUUACUAAUCAACUGACUUGAAACAGAGAAAUUAUGAUGGAUAAAGCAGGUAGACAAGUUCCUUAAAUAUGGACAACGCAGGCUGAACAGGAAAAGGGGCCUUAAGCCAAGGAAAGUGGGUGGGUUCUAGAAGCUGGAAAAGGCAAGUAAAAGGAUUAUCCUUUAGAUCCUCCAGAAAGGCCAGAUGAAACCUUGAUUUCAGCCAUGACGACCCACCUCAUAUUUCUGGGUGACAGAAUUGUACAACAAUCAAUCUGCAUUAUCUAAGCCACUAAAUGUGUAGUAACUGAUACAGCAGCAAUGAACAGGACAUUUUUAAUUAGGUCCACCUCCAAAUGGAAAUCUGCUGUUGUGUAAAUGUUAAACAUGUCUUAAUAAUGUUACUUGGAGGAAUAUGUCAACUCUAAUUUUCAUUGAAAUGAAUUUUAAAAGACUUUCAGAAAAAUGUCUGUCAGGUAGAAAAACCAGAAUACACCUUGGCUUAAAAGAAACCAGAUGGCAAAAACAAUAUCUGAGUCGUAAUAGCUUCUCAACAAGUACGUUUUGAAUGAAAGAAGAACAUGGACAGACAUAUUCCUGUUGGCUGCUUUAAUUCAGUUUUCCUAGAGUGUAUUAUAAAAAUGUAUGAACAGGUGCCAUUUGCUCAACAACAGAUAUUUAGUGAGAAAUAUUUAGUGCAGGCUUUGUUUUGGCGAUGAAAACAUUAUGCUAUAUUUAGAAAUUAGGACAUUUCUGUGAUUAAAAUAUUCUCUGGAAAGGAGGCCAAAAUGGAGCUGGCCAUUAAAGCAUAAGUAAAUUACAAAUACACAUAGAGGAAUGGGAGAAAGGUUGUGGCAGGAAACCACCUUAAGUGAGUCUCAAAUUCGAGUAUGUGUAACACUUCUU